rnacentral:rRNA from 1 species
UGGGGAAUAUUGGACAAUGGGCGAAAGCCUGAUCCAGCAAUGCCGCGUGAGUGAUGAAGGCCUUAGGGUUGUAAAGCUCUUUUACCCGGGAUGAUAAUGACAGUACCGGGAGAAUAAGCCCCGGCUAACUCCGUGCCAGCAGCCGCGGUAAUACGGAGGGGGCUAGCGUUGUUCGGAAUUACUGGGCGUAAAGCGCACGUAGGCGGCUUUGUAAGUUAGAGGUGAAAGCCCGGGGCUCAACUCCGGAACUGCCUUUAAGACUGCAUCGCUAGAAUUGUGGAGAGGUGAGUGGAAUUCCGAGUGUAGAGGUGAAAUUCGUAGAUAUUCGGAAGAAUACCAGUGGCGAAGGCGACUCACUGGACACAUAUUGACGCUGAGGUGCGAAAGCGUGGGGAGCAAACAG